rnacentral:rRNA from 1 species
GCUGAGAACGUGUCGUCGGUGGUUGUAAUGCUGAGGGGGCAAGCGUUGUCCUGAUUCAUUGGGCGUAAAGGGCGGGUAGGCGGCCAGGUAGGUCGUUUGUGAAAACUGGAGGCUCAACCGUCAGAGGUUGACCGAAACCAUCUGGCUAGAGUCCGGGAGAGGAGAGUGGAAUUCCUGGUGUAGCGGUGAAAUGCGCAGAUAUCAGGAAGAACACCCGUGGCGAAAGCGGCUCUCUGGAACGGUACUGACGCUGAGACGCGAAAGCGUGGGGAGCGAACAGGAUUAGAUACCCCAGUAGUC